CAGGUACAGCGGGAAGCCAUAUGGCGACAUAGAGCGGAACCCGAAAACCUGUCUCAGUUCGGAUUGGAGUCUGCAACCCGACUCCAUGAAGCUGGAUUCGCUAGUAAUCGCGCAUCAGCCACGGCGCGGUGAAUACGUUCCCGGGCCUUGUACACACCGCCCGUCAAGCCAUGGAAGCCGGGAGUGCCUGAAGUGCGUGAGCGCAAGCAGCGCCCUAAGGUAAAACCGGUGACUGGGGCUAAGUCGUAACAAGGUAAC
rnacentral:rRNA from 1 species